AUUGAACGCUGGCGGCAGGCCUAACACAUGCAGGUCGAACGGUAACAGGAAACAGCUUGCUGUUUCGCUGACGAGUGGCGGACGGGUGAGUAAUGUCUGGGAAACUGCCUGAUGGAGGGGGAUAACUACUGGAAACGGUAGCUAAUACCGCAUAACGUCGCAAGACCAAAGAGGGGGACCCUCGGGCCUCUUGCCAUCGGAUGUGCCCAGAUGGGAUUAGCUUGUUGGUGGGGUAACGGCUCACCAAGGCGACGAUCCCUAGCUGGUCUGAGAGGAUGACCAGCCACACUGGAACUGAGACACGGUCCAGACUCCUACGGGAGGCAGCAGUGGGGAAUAUUGCACAAUGGGCGCAAGCCUGAUGCAGCCAUGCCGCGUGUAUGAAGAAGGCCUUCGGGUUGUAAAGUACUUUCAGCGGGGAGGAAGGGAGUAAAGUUAAUACCUUUGCUCAUUGACGUUACCCGCAGAAGAAGCACCGGCUAACUCCGUG
rnacentral:rRNA from 1 species